rnacentral:rRNA from 1 species
AGAAUCAACGCUGGCGGCGUGCCUCAGACAUGCAAGUCGAACGCGAAAGUUUCCUUCGGGAAAUAAGUAGAGUGGCGCACGGGUGAGUAACACGUAGGUAAUCUACCUUCGGGUGGGGAAUAACCCAGGGAAACUUGGGCUAACACCGCAUGAUGCAGCGGCACCACAUGGUGACAGUUGUUAAAGCGGGGGAUUUUCGGACCUCGCGCCUGAAGAGGAGCCUGCGGCGGAUUAGCUAGUUGGUGAGGUAACGGCUCACCAAGGUCACGAUCCGUA